UACAGGGGGGGCAAGCGUUGUUCGGAAUUACUGGGCGUAAAGGGUUCGUAGGUGGCCAACUAAGUCAGAUGUGAAAUCCCUCAGCUUAACUGGGGAACUGCUUCUGAAACUGGUUGGCUUGAGUGCAGGAGAGGAAUGCGGAAUUCCAGGUGUAGCGGUGAAAUGCGUAGAUAUCUGGAGGAACACCGGUGGCGAAGGCGGCAUUCUGGACUGUAACUGACACUGAGGAACGAAAGCCAGGGGAGCAAACGGG
rnacentral:rRNA from 1 species